GACGAACGCUGGCGGCGUGCUUAACACAUGCAAGUCGAACGGAAAGGCCCCUUUGGGGGUACUCGAGUGGCGAACGGGUGAGUAACACGUGAGUAACCUGCCCUUUCCUUCGGGAUAACUUCAGGAAACUGGGGCUAAUACCGGAUAGGAAUCCUUGCUGCAUGGUGGGGGUUGGAAAGCUUCGGCGGUUUUGGAUGGACUCGCGGCUUAUCAGCUUGUUGGUGGGGUAGUGGCUUACCAAGGCUUUGACGGGUAGCCGGCCUGAGAGGGCGACCGGCCACAUUGGGACUGAGAUACGGCCCAGACUCCUACGGGAGGCAGCAGUGGGGAAUAUUGCACAAUGGGCGGAAGCCUGAUGCAGCAACGCCGCGUGCGGGAUGACGGCCUUCGGGUUGUAAACCGCUUUCAGCAGGGGCGAAGCUUGUGGUGACGGUACCUGCAGAAGAAGCACCGGCUAACUACGUG
rnacentral:rRNA from 1 species